rnacentral:rRNA from 1 species
UCCCAAACUGGGAUUAGAUACCCCACUAUGCUUAGCCCUAAACCUAGAUAGUUAGCUCAAACAAAACUAUCCGCCAGAGAACUACUAGCAACAGCUUAAAACUCAAAGGACUUGGCGGUGCUUUAUAUCCCUCUAGAGGAGCCUGUUCUAUAAUCGAUAAACCCCGAUAAACCUCACCAUCUCUUGCUAAUUCAGCCUAUAUACCGCCAUCUUC